rnacentral:lncRNA from 1 species
UGCAUAUCAAAUAAAGCAAGAAAGAAGUACUUCAAAGUAAAGGUGAGCUUAUGCUCAUUACAACAUUUGCAUAAUACAAAUUACUUUAAAGUAAAGAAGAGCUUAAGCCCUUUUACAACAUUUGAUCAAAUCAAAUUACAACCAAAAUCUAAUCUACACAUUCCCAUGGUUCAAACAAAUUUGAAAUGGCCUUUCACAUAGCUCAAUUAUCGUAGGCUUAGGUUCAUAAUCACCCUUUAAUUAAUUAACACUUUAACUAAUUAAAUUGAAUGCAACAUUUUCAUUUGGUUUUUGUAUCCAUAAAAUUGAUUUAAAUGGAGCUAAACAAAAUGAAAAUCCAAUUCUCAUUUUAAAGAGACAAAACAAUUUUGUUCUCAACCUAAUUUGGGCCAUCAUGCAAUAACCACAACUUAUUUGGGUCAUAAAGCAAUUAACCUCAACUUUUGGGCUAUAUUGCAAAACUUUUGGGGUCACUUUGUAAAGACACAAAAGUCCACUACUUCAUGUAAUUACAAUAGAACCCAAAAUUUAAUCAAUGCAAAAACUUCAUUAAAGGAUCAAAACAAUUUGUCCUUUAUCGUUUUUGGACCUAAACGUAAAAACGUUAACUUUUGGGCCAAAGUGCAAAUACACAAAAGUAUCAAAACUUUAUGUAAUUGCAUAAAAGCCCCAAAAGUACCCCCACUAGUAGGGUGGCCGGUUUUGGAAGAAGAAGUGAGUGAUGUGUGUGUUGAUUUGUGAGUUUAGACAUAAAGCUUGCAAGUGGUGCAAGUGGUGUGUGUGAAAGGAAAUUAAUCCUUACACACCCAUCACCAUAUCUCUUACACCUCUUACACCAUUUAAACAAAUAUCUAAAACAUUUAAACAUUUGAAAAACAUAAAACAAAGACUUUAUGAAAUAAAUCAAAACUUUGAAUCAAAACACAAACCUUUUUGUUCUUGGCAAAAAUGUCAAGAACAAUGAAGAACACUCAUGAAAAAACUCAAAAUUUUCCAUGAACAUUUUUCACCCAAAAAACAUUCCAAAACCAUUCAAACUUUAGGGAAAUAACAUCUAACCAAACUAGGGUACAUAGGGGUUCCAAAAGUCACUUGAAAACACUUUUAACAAGUCAAACAAGAACCCAAAAAUCUACCCUUUGGAUUUGGCCGAAAAUCCCCAAAGUCAUGGCACCAAAUUUUAGCUCCAAUAUUCAUGCUCAU